UCAUUUUUCCCCACUAAAUUAUAGGGAUGAUGCACUUCUCAUUCACCAUUGUAUCCUCAGAAUCCAAAACAGUGAGAAGCACAUACUAACUAUUUAAUAAAUACUAACGAAAUGAAUGAAUAAAUGUUGUCUUUGGGCUCUGAUGUCUUUGUUCUUCUCUCCACAUUGUUUUUAGGGCCAGAACGGUGUUGUGAGUUGGAUGCUACAGUGGAGGGGAACACCCAGAACCUUCCAUGACCAAGGGGACUCUGAAUUACUGUUAUUCCCUUAAUCUAGUCAAGUGAUCAAAGUCCAAAUUGGAUAGUGGGUGCAUCUCAAAAAUAAAAAUGAUGCUAAAUCAUAUGAUAUCAUCUGGACCUUUUGGGACACUGCAGAAGUAUUGUCUCAAAAGAAAGGUCUCUUCUUAUGCUUUGUAGGUUUCUCCCACUAUCCGAAAGUUUGCUUUAUACUUCACUUUUAUGAAAGACCUCCAUCAGUACCUGUUGAUGCUAAGUGAAAGAAAUCCAGAAAGGAUUUUUGCUUUUAUGAAAUGAUAAACUUUUCUUUGCUUUAUGCCAUUUCUGCUUACAAAAGGUUUUUACAGGAACGCUCUGAUUUGGAUAGUGAAGGAAACCUACACCUGGUUUUCUAUGCUUUCGGUUCACUGAAGAAACCUGUAUGCCAUGAGAACUAACCUUCUAACAAAGAUGUGGAAGGCCAUCAGCUGUGAACUCUACAAUGUCAGCUGAAGACCACUCAGCAGCAAGGCCCUGAGACAACCAUCUGAGUCUUGCUUUCCCCAGACCAGGAAACUGCAAGAUCAGGAUAUGGGAGAGCUGGUAUCUGCACGAUGUUUUCCUGGGGAAUUGGUAUCAGACCUGAUUGCAAGUCUAUUUCUGGGCGUAAAUAAAGAGGACAGAACAACU